UGGGGAAUAUUGGACAAUGGGCGCAAGCCUGAUCCAGCAAUGCCGCGUGAGUGAUGAAGGCCUUAGGGUUGUAAAGCUCUUUCACCGGGGACGAUGAUGACGGUACCCGGAGAAGAAGCCCCGGCUAACUUCGUGCCAGCAGCCGCGGUAAUACGAAGGGGGCUAGCGUUGUUCGGAAUUACUGGGCGUAAAGCGCGCGUAGGCGGCGGUUCAAGUCGGGGGUGAAAGCCCGGGGCUCAACCUCGGAAAUGCCUUCGAGACUGGACUGCUGGAGUGCGGAAGAGGGUCGUGGAAUUCCCAGUGUAGAGGUGAAAUUCGUAGAUAUUGGGAAGAACACCGGUGGCGAAGGCGGCGACCUGGUCCGUAACUGACGCUGAGGCGCGACAGCGUGGGGAGCAAACAGGAUUAGAUACCCGCGUAGUCC
rnacentral:rRNA from 1 species